UCGAGAAUCUUCGGCAAUGGGCGCAAGCCUGACCGAGCGACGCCGCGUGCGGGAUGAAGGCCCUUGGGUUGUAAACCGCUGUCAGGGGGGAGCAAGGCGUAAGCUUGAGCGAGCCCCAGAGGAAGCACGGGCUAAGUUCGUGCCAGCAGCCGCGGUAAUACGAACUGUGCGAACGUUAUUCGGAAUCACUGGGCUUACAGGGUGCGUAGGCGGCCUUUCAAGUCAGGUGUGAAAUCCCCCAGCUCAACUG
rnacentral:rRNA from 1 species